UCGGAUUUUCUUACAAAAAGAAGUAGAUCCAGCGCCAACAAUUGGUGUCUCAUUCGACCUGACGCCGAGAGAGCGGCGUCAGCAGACCCGGAUGCUCGCUUGAAGAACCGUCUUCUUUCUAGAGAAGCAACAAAGCAGUCAUGGGAGAGGCUGACGAGGAAGGUUCCGUCCCCACAGUCGUCGCAAGGUCAGCGGGGGGCUCU